CAGAAGUGAGGCUGAGCGUCCGUAUCGGCUUCUGCGUGAAACAUCUGAGGAUAUUUUAGUCCAGUUUGCAGGAAAGAUCAUCUUGAGUACGUUUUCAUUUUC